CAAAGAUCGGCGCAGCUCUCCGCUGAACAGGCAUCCAUCCAUUCUCUGCUGUUUUGGACAUGAGACUACUUAAUUGCUUCUUCAGCCUGAUAAUUGCUAUGUGAUGGCUGGUUUUUAUUUGCAGUCCCGAUUUGUCCUGUGCUGUCGUGUAGAGUACUGGGUUUGUAACUGAUGAAAGGUGACUGGGAAGUUGGGAAGUUUCCUUUUGUUCUGAACUCUGAUGACAAAUGAUCAUUUCCCAGUGGAUGAUUUACAGUACCUUCAGAAAGGUUGUGAGAGCUGGCUUACCAGUGCAGUGACGUCACCGC